rnacentral:rRNA from 1 species
UACAGAGGUGCCGAGCGUUAGGCGGAAUCACUGGGCUUAAAGCGUGUGUAGGCGGAUCGUUAAGUAUCUUGUGAAAUCCCACGGCUCAACCGUGGAACUGCUGGGUAUACUGGCGAUCUUGAGCAGCUUAGGGGCAGACGGAACAAGUGGUGGAGCGGUGAAAUGCGUAGAUAUCACUUGGAACGCCGACGGUGAAAACAGUCUGCUGGGAGCUGCUGACGCUGAGACACGAAAGCCAGGGGAGCGAACGGG